rnacentral:rRNA from 1 species
UAGGGAAUCUUCGGCAAUGGACGGAAGUCUGACCGAGCAACGCCGCGUGAGUGAAGAAGGUUUUCGGAUCGUAAAGCUCUGUUGUAAGAGAAGAACGAGUGUGAGAGUGGAAAGUUCACGCUGUGACGGUAUCUUACCAGAAAGGGACGGCUAACUACGUGCCAGCAGCCGCGGUAAUACGUAGGUCCCGAGCGUUGUCCGGAUUUAUUGGGCGUAAAGCGAGCGCAGGCGGUUAGAUAAGUCUGAAGUUAAAGGCUGUGGCUUAACCAUAGUAGGCUUUGGAAACUGUUUAACUUGAGUGCAAGAGGGGAGAGUGGAAUUCCAUGUGUAGCGGUGAAAUGCGUAGAUAUAUGGAGGAACACCGGUGGCGAAAGCGGCUCUCUGGCUUGUAACUGACGCUGAGGCUCGAAAGCGUGGGGAGCAAACAGGAUUAGAUACCCUGGUAGUCCACGCUGUAAACGAUGAGUGCUAGGUGUUAGACCCUUUCCGGGGUUUAGUGCCGUAGCUAACGCAUUAAGCACUCCGCCUGGGGAGUACGACCGCAAGGUUG